rnacentral:lncRNA from 1 species
CUGGUUUUGGUGGAGACGGGGUUUCGCUGUGUUGGCCGGGCCGGUCUCCAGCCCCUAACCGCGAGUGAUCCGCCAGCCUCGGCCUCCCGAGGUGCCGGGAUUGCAGACGGAGUCUCGUUCACUCAGUGCUCAAUGGUGCCCAGGCUGGAGUGCAGUGGCGUGAUCUCGGCUCACUACAACCUACACCUCCCAGCCGCCUGCCUUGGCCUCCCAAAGUGCUGAGAUUGCAGCCUCUGCCCGGCCGCCACCCCGUCUGGGAAGUGAGGAGUGUCUCUGCCUGGCCGCCCAUCGUCUGGGAUGUGAGGAGCCCCUCUGCCUGGCUGCCCAGUCUGGAAAGUGAGGAGCGUCUCCGCCCUGCCGCCAUCCCAUCUAGGAAGUGAGGAGCGCCUCUUCCCGGCCGCCAUCACAUCUAGGAAGUGAGGAGCGUCUCUGCCCGGCCGCCCAUUGUCUGAGAUGUGGGGAGCGCCUCUGCCCCGCCGCCCCAUCUGGGAUAUGAGGAGCGCCUCUGCCCGGCAGCGACCCCGUCUGGGAGGUGAAGAGCGUCUCUGCUCGGCCGCCCCGUCUGAGAAGUGAGGAGACCCUCUGCCUGGCAACCACCCCGUCUGAGAAGUGAGGAGCCCCUCCGUCCGGCAGCUGCCCCGUCUGAGAAGUGAGGAGCCUCUCCGCCCGGCAGCCACCCCAUCUGGGAAGUGAGGAGAGUCUCCGCCCGGCAGCCACCCCAUCCGGGAGGGAGAUGGGGGGGUCAGCCCCUCGCCCGAUCAGCCGCCCCGUCCAGGAGGGAGGUGGGGGGGUCAGCCCCCCGCCCGGCCAGCCGCCCCGUCGGGGAGGGAGGUUGGGGGGUCAGCCCCCCGCCCGGCCAGCCGCCCCGUCCGGGAGGGAGGUGGGGGGGUCAGCCCCCCGCCCGGCCAGCCGCCCCGUCUGGGAGGUGAGGGGCACCUCUGCCCGGCCACCACCCCGUCUGGGAGGUGUACCCAACAGCUCAUUGAGAACGGGCCAGGAUGACAAUGGCGGCUUUGUGGAAUAGAAAGGCGGGAAAGGUGGGGAA